rnacentral:rRNA from 1 species
GUGGGGAAUAUUCCGCAAUGGACGAAAGUCUGACGGAGCAACGCCGCGUGAGUGAUGAAGGUUUUCGGACUGUAAAGCUCUGUUGUUUAGGACGAAAGUGCCUGUUGCAAAUAGUUACAGGUAUUGACGGUACUGAACGAGGAAGCCACGGCUAACUACGUGCCAGCAGCCGCGGUAAUACGUAGGUGGCAAGCGUUGUCCGGAAUUAUUGGGCGUAAAGAGCAUGUAGGCGGGAAUCUAAGUCUGUUGUGAAAAUGCGGGGCUCAACCCCGUAUUGCGAUGGAAACUGGGUUUCUUGAGUGCAGGAGAGGAAAGGGGAAUUCCCAGUGUAGCGGUGAAAUGCGUAGAUAUUGGGAGGAACACCAGUGGCGAAGGCGACUUACUGGGCCGUAACUGACGCUGAGGCGCGAAAGCGUGGGGAGCGAACAGGAUUAGAAACCCGGGUAGUCC